UGCGUAGGCGGCUUUUUAAGUCGGAUGUGAAAUCCCCGAGCUUAACUUGGGAAUUGCAUUCGAUACUGGGAAGCUAGAGUAUGGGAGAGGAUGGUAGAAUUCCAGGUGUAGCGGUGAAAUGCGUAGAGAUCUGGAGGAAUACCGAUGGCGAAGGCGGCUUACUGGACUGUAACUGACGUUGAGGCUCGAAAGCGUGGGGAGCAAACAGGAUUAGAUACCCCCGUA
rnacentral:rRNA from 1 species